AGACUAAAUACUUAUAACUGAUUACAAUAAUGAACGAUCUGUUUUCCACCGAUUCCUUCCGCCAAGAGCAUCACCAAUAUCGCCACCAUGACACCGUCGAGAUGUCCGACAACUUGCCGUCCUCAACCACGAUCAAUCUCAACACCUUCUUCGACGACGUGGAGUCGGUCAAGGCGGAAUUAACAGAACUCGAAGGGCUCCACCGAAGCCUCCAGAAUUCUCACGAACAGAGCAAAACUCUACACAAUUCCAAGGCGAUUAAGGAUGUUCGAUCGCGAAUGGAGACGGCUGUGACAUUGGCUUUGAAGAAGGCUAGGUUUAUCAAGGUCCGGCUGGAGGAACUGGACCGGUCGAAUGAGGAGAACCGGAAGCUUCCUGGUUGUGGGUAUGGAUCCUCGGCGGACCGGUCGAGAACAUCGGUGGUGAGCGGAUUGAGGAAGAAGCUGUGUGAUUCAAUGGAGAGUUUUAACAGAUUGAGAGAAGAGAUAACGAAGACGUAUAAGGAGACGAUUGAACGGAGGUAUUUUACAAUUACAGGGGAAAAUCCGGAUGAGAAGACUGUUGAAUUGUUGAUCUCUACAGGUUUCAUUUUUAGUUCUUUCUUCCUCUUUUAUUUUUAACAUAAAAUUCAAAGUCUUCACCUUCAAAUUGUAUUUAAAAGAUUGAAUAUGAUAUAUACUAAAAUGAUGUGGGUAUAUAUGGUAAAGGUGAAAGUGAAACGUUCUUGCAAAAAGCAAUACAAAAGCAAGGAAGAGGAAGAGUUCUGGAAACAAUCCAAGAGAUUCAAGAAAGGCACGACGCAGUGAAAGACAUAGAGAGGAAUUUGAGAGAGUUGCACCAAGUUUUCUUGGACAUGGCGGUUAUGGUUCAAGCACAGGGGCAGCAGUUAGACGACAUCGAAAGCCAAGUUACUCGAGCCAACUCUGCUGUCAAGCGGGGCACGUCUCAGCUACAAACUGCAAGGUACUAUCAAAAAAACACUCGCAAAUGGAUCUGCAUAGGCGUCAGUGUUGGUGCUACAGUCAUUCUCAUCAUUAUAAUCGUUGCUAUCGCCCGCGCGAUAAAGAAAAAGGAUGGUUAGUUUGUUCUUUAAAUGAAAUUGAGAUGUAUUUUGUAUUUAGUUAAUUGUGUUAGUAAAACAAAUUGUUUGUUUUCCUAAUAUCCUAUGUUGAUGAAUUUCAAAUAACUUUAUGGAAAUGGUUGUGAUUAGUUAAUGUAACUUUCAAUAUGACUUAAUUACAUCAUAAUAUACUAUUUUUUAAAUAAUUAAAACAAUAUAAUGCUUCUAUACUAGUGUAUCGUAAAUAUUAUUGUAAAGUAAGAAACUUAAAAAUAAAUGAAAAGAUGGUUGCGUAAGAGGAAGAGUAGUUAUUGGUGUUAGUGUUAUGAUAAUUCUAGUUAGAGACGGAUUUAUUAAGAGAUUAUGAUACUCAAAACAUGAACUUUCAUAUUUUAAUAUUAAUUUUAAAGUGUAAGAUUACACUAUAUAUAUUAAAUAAUACUUUUUUUAACUAAAAUUUUAGUUAGUAAUGAUUGUGUUCCCGUUACAAAAUCACGAACAAAAUUUUAAUAACUCUAAAUGUCAAUUUUAUUAACAAAUUUCAAUAAGGUCAUAAAAACAAUGUUUUAAAAAGAGAGAACAAAAUCUAAUUAAGAUAAAACUCUAAUUUAUUUUCUAAUAAUCGUUUGUUAUCUAACAAAUAUUUAAAAAAAGAAUACAACAAACCAGCUAUCAAACUCACAUUUAUUUUCACUCUCUCACCAAUAUUCCAUGAAAAAUGUAUUUUUUAUGCAAUUUUUAAAUUCACAUUUAAAUCACGUGAAAAUUGUUAGUAUUUUCUUUAUUGCUACAAAUGUUAUUGAAGCAUCAAUGAAACGUUAAGAUAUUAUAUAGUGCUCAUUGCCCCGUAUAAAAUUUGUGUAAGUAAUAUUGGAGUUUGGAUAAAAUAUACUUAAUUUUUAUAUAAACAAAAAAACAAAAUAACUGCCAAAAUAAUUUUAAAAUUUAAAAACAAAAACAAAAUUAACUUAGACUAAGUUCCUAAGUUGGAAGGGGAUUAAAAAAGAUGUUUAAUUACUAUUAGUCUAUUUUGGUCCUUUUUUAUCUUCUAAGUUUGUUAAAAUUUGAGACUAUAUAGUUCUAAAUGCUACUUUUUCCAACAAUCCUCAAUUUAGUCUCUAAUACAAUUUUAUUAUUAAACUUUUUUUAAAGAAUUUUUUAUUCUCCAUAUUUUUACUAUAAAUUUUGAGAAUAUAUUCACAUAAUUUUUUGAAUGAAAAUUACUAUAUUAUUUAGUUAAUUUUUGUAGAUAUAUUAAAUUUUAAAAUAAAAUUUAUUGAAGGUAGAAAAAAUAAAAUCAGACAAUUAAAAAUGCAUCAACCGGACAAAAUUCAAGGUAAUAUAUGCAUUUUUUAACAAAUAAAAAAAAAUUAGGGUCGUGCGUUUAAUUUCAUGGGAUGGACAUCGUUUGAAGUACCACAUUUGUUUCACGGUGAUGUAAGGUGUUCAAAUAUUUAAAGAUUUUCGAACAUUCUAAAAUACACAAUUUGUGAUUUUAAAUGUCUUUACAAAAUAUUCCUACAAAAUUAAUAAUGUAAUUUCGAACCUCCACUACAAAAAAAAUCGAAUAAUUCCAACUUGGACGAGACCUAGAUGGCUAUGAGUUGACUUCCAAAUUUUCUACAAUGAUGUAACAUUCAAACUAAGAUCUAAAGUCUUUCACUCUUAUUUUAGUAACAACUUGUAUUCUUUUAGUUUAAAUGAAAAAGGAAAAAAAUGAUUAAAUUGACCUAGUCUUAAUUAGUUGUUCAAUAAUUCCUAAUUAAAUGAAACAUUCCCUAUAUCGAGUAAAAUAGAACUUAUAUAUAUGUAAUUCGGGGUGUAAUGUGGUUAGAUUAGAAGACAUUCUCAAUCCGAUUUCAUGUUAAUUAUUUGAGUUUUCUGGUUGUAUUUUUUUUUUCAUUUCUACCGAUUGUAAAGUUCAAAAUAGUUCUCAUUUUUAAAACAAAAAUUCAAAAUUGACGUACAUUCAGAUUUCAAACAUACAUAAUUCAAAAUUUCAUACAUACAUAAACUCAAUGUUUGAAGUAUUCAUAAAUUCAAAGUUACAAACAUAAAUAAGAAUGUCAUGCGUAAAGAAGGAGAAGAGAAAGACCUAAUUUUUUAAGUUUUAUUUUAUUACAUAAAUAUUAUAUAUCUACAUUAUAUAAAUUUGGGUUGGGUUUGGGUUGAACAAAAAAUUUUAACCUUCCAACUCGAGACUCAACCGAACUCGAAAAAAUUCAAUUUUUUAAAGUCAAUUCAUAUUUUAACUCUAAUCCAACCUAACUCAUAAUAUAAAUUGGAUAGUCCGAGUUGUCACAGAUUCAACCCAUAUUUUUAUAUACAGAUAAUAAUGCAAUAAUAUAGAAUGAGAUUGUCAGAGUGUAAUAUACUUGGUAUUAAUUCAAGUAUCACCCGGCCUCCACAAUUUAUUCUCAAUCAAUUUGUAAUGAUACUUUAUUUGAACUCAUAUAAAAUUCACACCUAUUUGGUUUUAAAGUUUAUCAAGUUAAAAAAUUUGUUUUUUUCAUAGCGGCCUCAUGAAGCUCUCUUUAAAGUAACUAUUAAAAUUUAUAUACUAUAGUCUUUAAUUUCAAUAUUCUUUAUGAUUGGACAAAUACGUUAAAAUGAAUGAAAUAUAAAUUGAACAUUGUGAACCUAAUAGAUCUUAAUGGUAAACGUUCACAUGUUCUAAAACUUGUAUCACAUAAAAUGUAAUAUACACACACAUAAGCUAAUACAGAUAUGACAUACACAUGUGUAUUUAUAUUUGACUCUCAACACAAUAAAUUUAUUUUUUUAGUUUUAAAGUUAAAUAUAUUUGGUGAAAAUAUCAAUUCAGAUUCUGAUUUUUUAAAACAAUUAAAGAUAAUUCGUUUGAAAAGUCUAACCUUCAUCACCUUCUUCAAUUUCCAAGUUCGUUGAUGUAACCAUUACAGCUCCUCCAUUGCCUACACACCAUCCUUAAAUCCCCGAUUUCCAUUCCAUUUCCCUCUUAUUUUCAUUCAAAAUCACACUAAAUACUUAUAACUGAUCACAAUAAUGAACGAUCUGUUUUCCACCGAUUCCUUCCGCCAAGAGCAUCACCAAUAUCGCCACCAUGACACCGUCGAGAUGUCCGACAACUCGCCCUCCUCAACCACGAUCAAUCUCAACACCUUCUUCGACGACGUGGAGUCGGUCAAGGCGGAAUUAACAGAACUCGAAGGGCUCCACCGAAGCCUCCAGAAUUCUCACGAACAGAGCAAAACUCUACACAAUUCCAAGGCGAUUAAGGAUGUUCGAUCGCGAAUGGAGACGGCUGUGACAUUGGCUUUGAAGAAGGCUAGGUUUAUCAAGGUCCGGCUGGAGGAACUGGACCGGUCGAAUGAGGAGAACCGGAAGCUUCCUGGUUGUGGGU
rnacentral:lncRNA from 1 species